rnacentral:rRNA from 1 species
AUUGAACGCUGGCGGCAUGCUUUACACAUGCAAGUCGAACGGUAACAGGCCGCAAGGUGCUGACGAGUGGCGAACGGGUGAGUAAUGCAUCGGAACGUGCCCAGUCGUGGGGGAUAACUACUCGAAAGAGUAGCUAAUACCGCAUACGAUCUAUGGAUGAAAGCGGGGGACCGUAAGGCCUCGCGCGAUUGGAGCGGCCGAUGUCAGAUUAGGUAGUUGGUGGGGUAAAGGCUCACCAGGCCAACGAUCUGUAGCUGGUCUGAGAGGACGACCAGCCACACUGGGACUGAGACACGGCCCAGACUCCUACGGGAGGCAGCAGUGGGGAAUUUUGGACAAUGGGCGCAAGCCUGAUCCAGCAAUGCCGCGUGCAGGAAGAAGGCCUUCGGGUUGUAAACUGCUUUUGUACGGAACGAAACGGCUCUGGUUAAUACCCGGGGCUAAUGACGGUACCGUAAGAAUAAGCACCGGCUAACUACGUG